GCCAUCAAACUUGCAGACUUUUUUUACUCAGUUGCUCACUCUUCUGAGUCUAAAUAUCUAAUGGAGAUUUGGACUUUGUGUUCUGUUUAUUGUCCUCAGUAAUCUGAAGGACAAGCUUGCCUUCAACUCUCACAUAGUACAACCCUCAUUUAGACAGUUAACAGGUACUAUUAAAAUCUCCCAUAGGGCGGGAACUGGCAAUUGCAGCAAUAGACUUGGCUAUCAGAUUUCAUCAAAGGGAGCCUAAGGGCAGUGUGGCCAUGGAUGCCAGCACUCAUGGGGACAGACAGAGAGCAGGAGGAGGAGGCCUUGGUUUCCAAAAAGAGCCAUAGAAAGAACUCCGGGGAGUGGCUCUGCCCACUGUCUGAUGCUUGAAUCCUUACAUAACUGCUCUGAGAAAGGGCUUUUGCUUGGAUUUUUUCAGGGAUAAGGGAACAGGCUUUCUCCCAGAGUGAUCUGUUCUAUUUGGAACAGAUCUGUCUUUGAUAGAAAGUUCUUCCUUACACCUAGCAAAAAAUCAGCCCUCUUGACUCUCCACGUACUGAUCCUAGCCCUGCCUGACCUUUGAGGCCCCAAAUAACAAGUCUAAUCCAUGUGACAGCUUUUUUUUUUUUUUUUUUUUGAGACGGAGUCUCGCUCUGUCGCCCAGGCUGGAGUGCAGUGGCGCGAUCUCGGCUCACUGCAAGCUCCGCCUCCCGGGUUCACACCAUUCUCCUGCCUCAGCCUCCCGAGUAGCUGGGACUACAGGCGCCCGCUACCACGCCCGGCUAAUUUUUUGUAUUUUUAGUAGAGACGGCUUUUAAAGACAGUUUUUGUACCCCUCAAGUUGCUAGGUGGAACCUUCUCAGUGCUUUCAACCAUUCCUCAUUUAGUUGGUUUCCUACCCCUCUUGAUCCUAGUUCUGACCCCUGGAUAUACCACAAUUUGUCAUUAUCCCCUUUAUAGCAUGCUGCCUGGAAGAGAACACAUUAUCUGGCAAUUCUGAGUUGUGUAACAUGUACCCAUGUGUAACAUCUAGCAUGUAGAGUGGAUGGAGCAGAUGUCCACUUACUAGCAUGUGGGA
rnacentral:lncRNA from 1 species